GAUGAACGCUGGCGGCGUGCCUAAUACAUGCAAGUCGAGCGAACAGACGAGGAGCUUGCUCCUCUGACGUUAGCGGCGGACGGGUGAGUAACACGUGGAUAACCUACCUAUAAGACUGGGAUAACUUCGGGAAACCGGAGCUAAUACCGGAUAAUAUAUUGAACCGCAUGGUUCAAUAGUGAAAGACGGUUUUGCUGUCACCUAUAGAUGGAUCCGCGCCGCAUUAGCUAGUUGGUAAGGUAACGGCUUACCAAGGCAACGAUGCGUAGCCGACCUGAGAGGCUGCUCGGCCACCCGGGAACGGAGACACGGUCCAAACUCCCACGGGAGGCAGCAGUAGGGAAUCUUCCGCAAUGGGCGAAAGCCUGACGGAGCAACGCCGCGUGAGUGAUGAAGGUCUUCGGAUCGUAAAACUCUGUUAUUAGGGAAGAACAAAUGUGUAAGUAACUAUGCACGUCUUGACGGUACCUAAUCAGAAAGCCACGGCUAACUACGUG
rnacentral:rRNA from 1 species